rnacentral:rRNA from 1 species
ACGGAGGGGGCAAGCGUUGUUCGGAUUUACUGGGCGUAAAGGGUGUGUAGGCGGUGGCGUCAGUCUGGUGUGAAAUCUUCACCGCUUUACGGGAAGAGGUCACUGGAAACUGCGUAACUCGAGUAUGGUAGAGGCAAGCGGAAUUCCUGGUGUAGCGGUGGAAUGUGUAGAUAUCAGGAAGAACCCCGGUGGCGAAGGCGGCUUGCUGGGCAAUCACUGACGCUGAGACACGAAAGCGUGGGGAGCAAACGG